CCUCAGAGGGCAGAUACCCGUGUGAACAACAGGCACAAGUAGUAGGUUGUGUUCGUAAAUUACAUCUGGAGUGCCAUAGUGCGCACUCGAGCUUGCAAGCUACUUCGAGACACAAACGAGAGCACCCCUCAUUCUGACAAUUUUACCAGCCCCAGCAGAGCUGUGUUCAUACUAUCUUGAUCGUUAGUGACCAACUGUGCUGCUAGCAACAAUAUCAUACCGUUUUUUUUAACCAACUUUUGCGGACACCUGUUGUAUUCAAAGGGUGUUGCGCGUUGGUAAAUCCAUCAGUUAUUCUGCUCUGACACUCAAACGAGUAGAUAACCUCAAUGUACCAACGCACCCGACCGGAGUCGUUUUUCUCAACGUUGCUGGAAUGCCACGUGCAUCCACUUAUAUCAGAACAAUUAACAGCCUGAACAUUACGAAACUUUUUUUAAGAUCAAAUAAGCCUCCAUAUUAAAAAGGGUUUAUCUUUUGGGCGGAGUAAAUUCUCACUCCAUAGGGCUGGACCAUACGAUAUAAGUACACCUGACCUGCACGCUUUCCUGAAUUUAAUAGACUGCACAAGACCAAAACAAAUCAUAUUUCGAUAAAUGUUUAUGUUUAACAGACUGUCUGCAGUUGGUGUCGAUUCGUAGCUACGAAAACUCCCUCAUCUGUCAACAUCACCACCGGGAAAUGUGACGUUACUUUCUGUCUGGAAGUGUAGGAGUUGGUGGGCUCAUAUAGGAUCAAACUGUCCGUAUCAGACCCCUGGUAUGGUACCAAUAGACCUGCUGUGAUAUGUACUCUACUAUUCACUCGUCUGCUCAUCCAUGUUGGGCUCGUUAACCAGCUUUUAGCGGUCUGCUGAUGAAAUGGGUCACACACACAGCUGGUAAUUAGCUAGAUCGGAGGGAUCAUUUAAAAAGUCCAGUUCUCUUCAAUGACUGUAUUUUGGGGACAUUAUUUUCAUACACUGGAUAGUGGAUACGCUUGGUGGUGUUGUUGAGUCAAUGACGACAUGCUCCACUAAUUUCCCGGCGCUGUAACAUGUUUGUAGUUAAUGUUCCUGGCAACGCGCUAGGCUGUUAACUACAUAGGCAUCUAGCUUGCUAACUAGAUAUCGGUGACUGCUCAUCUGCUCCGGACGCCCAAGACUGGGGGAAAUAAAAGUAGUCCGUUUUUUCGAAAAUCAUGAACAAUUGCGAAUACCAACAAAUCGAACCGCUGUCACUUCCAACUCCGACCCCGCCGCCGCGACCCGCAGCUGUUGAAGAGGAGGAGGAAAAGGCACGGAGAAAAUGGGAAGUUUUCCCCGGAAAGAAUCGCUUCUACUGCGAUGGACGGUUCAUCGUGGCUCAACAAAGCGGUGUCCUGCCACUCACCCUCGGCCUCAUUCUGGUCACCACCGUACUGUUCUUUGUAUUUGACUGUCCCUUCCUGGUGAAGCACCUGACUGUGUUCAUCCCAGCGAUUGGAGGAGUUCUGUUUGUGUUCGCUGUCAUCUCUCUCCUGCAGACCAGCUUCACUGACCCUGGCAUCCUGCCCCGGGCCACGCCGGACGAGGCCGCGUACAUUGAGAAGCAGAUCGAUAACUCUGGCUCUUCCACCUACCGACUCCCUCCCCGCACCAAGGAGGUGGUGAUCAACCAGCAGGUAGUGAAGCUCAAGUACUGUUUCACCUGCAAGAUGUUCCGGCCACCGCGCACCUCCCACUGCUCCCUCUGUGACAACUGUGUGGAGCGAUUCGACCACCAUUGUCCCUGGGUGGGGAAUUGUGUUGGGAAGAGGAACUAUCGUUUCUUCUACACCUUCAUCGUCUCUCUGUCCUUCCUGACAGCCUUCGUCUUCGGCUGCGUCGCCACACACCUCGCGCUGAGGGCACAAGGGGGGAGGGGCCUUAUUUUUGCUCUUCAGGAGAGUCCAGCCAGUGCUGUGGAGCUGGUGAUUUGCUUCUUUUCAGUUUGGUCCAUAUUGGGCCUCUCAGGCUUCCAUACCUACCUGGUUGCUUCUAACCUGACCACAAAUGAAGAUAUCAAAGGCUCGUGGUCGGGGAAGAGUGAGGCGGAGGACACCGGUAACCCCUACAGCUAUAACAACAUCCUGACUAACUGCUGCUCUGUACUCUGUGGACCCAUGCCUCCCAGGAAACUGAAUUCACCCUAACAUGCUGACCAGACUGCAUGUUGAUUUUUGUCCACCCACACCAGAUGCGAUCAGGACACGAAAUAUCAAAAACAGUUUGAUUGACAGGCGAGGCUUCGUACCAGUGGAGCAGUCAUCGCAGACAGUUUCCAUGGAGAUGGUGCUGCCCAUGCCGGCUGCUAAGGAGAUUAAAGUGGUAGGAGGGCCCACGCCUUCCCAGCUGGCCCCCAUCCUGUGCCUUGCAGGUUCCCUCCUCCCCUCUACCUGCAACCCCCCUCAGGGGCAGACCCCAGUUUAGUUGCCUGUUCUAACACUGGCUGUUGUGUAUGGGGUCACCCUCUCAUGACAGUCUCAGACCAGUGUACUGUAUUACUGUUGGUCAGGAUCUAGUACAGACCAGUGUACUGUAUUACUGUUGGUCAGGAUCUAGUACAGACCAGUGUACUAUAUUACUGUUGGUCAGGAUCCAGUACAGACCAGUGUACUAUAUUACUGUUGGUCAGGAUCUAGUACAGACCAGUGUACUGUAUUACUGUUGGUCAGGAUCUAGUACAGACCAGUGUACUGUAUUACUGUUGGUCAGGAUCUAGUACAGACCAGUGUACUGUAUUACUGUUGGUCAGGAUCUGGUAUUCAGGACAUUACAUAUGGUGGUGUUUCCUGUUCCUGGUAGCCCAGUCUACACCAGAUGGUUCGUUGUUUACCGCUGAAAAGACCAUCUCUGGAACAAGGAAGUGAAACCGCCUGCUAGGCCAUGUUUGACCUGGGUGUAGCUCAACCGUUAGUUACUCACGUCAUUCCGUUCUUUAACGUUAUAACCAGGCAACUCUGUGUUAUGUCUUUCAUUGCAAGGGGAACCCAGCCUACAUAUCUGAUUCAUCCACUUCCUAGCUUGGUUAGAGGUUGAGCCGUUGUUGUUUUGAGGUUCAGGAGAAACUUAAAUACUAGGGAGUUUAUUAGAACAUGUUUGUUUCCAAAGUGUGACUGCCACUGGGCUAUUUAGUUCAGUCUUAUGGUAGUGGCUCUCUCCAACCCGUCAGACUGUCUGCCUCUUCCAAACCAACAGGCCUUUCUGCUGUUUACAGUCAAGCAAUAUACAGACAAGCUGACCUAACCUUGGUUUACUUUAAGGAUACAAGGGCUCAGUCUUGUCUGCUGUAAGUUUGCAUAUUAUAUAUAUUUUUGUACAGAAGGAGUUAGACCAUAGACCAUGUUCAGUAUUUAUACUUUUUAGCAAAACACAUGUUGGUAAUGGAGGUGGUUACUGCUGAGAAUGUACCUGUAACAAACACAUGUUGGUCAUGGAAGUGGUUACUGCUGAGAAUGUACCUGUAACAAACACAUGUUGGUCAUGGAAGUGGCUACUGCUGAGAAUGUACCUGUAACAAACACAUGUUGGUCAUGGAAGUGGUUACUGCUGAGAAUGUACCUGUAACAAACACAUGUUUGGUCAUGGAAGUGGUUACUCCUGAGAAUGUACCUGUAACAAACACAUGUUGGUCAUGGAGGUGGUUACUGCUGAGAAUGUACCUGUAACACAUGUUGGUCAUGGAAGUGGUUACUGCUGAGAAUGUACCUGUAACAAACACAUGUCUGUACCCAUGUGCUGUUUUCAUUUCUCUCAAUAUGGACACUGACAUGUAGUUGGUCACAGCAGAGUCGGGGAAUGUUUUAUUGACACACAUGGAAUUGUCUUUGUUUACGGAGUGUGGACACUUUCCUCAAUGUUGUCUGUAUUUGUCUCUGACGUGAGUCUUUUAGUGUAGUUGUGCGUCAAAGCAUAAUGUAAUGGUCAUGUGACAGAAGCUGCAUACAUUUUUACAUUUUAGUCAUUUAGCAGAUGUUGUUUUUCCAGAGCGACUUACAGGAGCCAAUAGGGUUCAGUGGUUUGUUGUAGUGUAUUCUAAACAGAUGUUGUUUUUCCAGAGCGACUUACAGGAGCCAGUAGGGUUCAGUGGUUUGUUGUAGUGUAUUCUAAACAGAUGUUGUUUUUCCAGAGCGACUUACAGGAGCCAGUAGGGUUCAGUGGUUUGUUGUAGUGUAUUCUAAACAGAUGUUGUUUUUCCAGAGCGACUUACAGGAGCCAGUAGGGUUCAGUGGUUUGUUGUAGUGUAUUCUAAACAGAUGUUAACUGCUCGGGUACCUGCUGCCCUCCAGUCUUCAUCUCUUACUGGUUUCUUAUGCUUUUACAUUGUUUUAUUUGUCUUUUAAAUAUUUGUCAUUUUGGAAUAUUUUAAGUCCAUCUGAAAUGUACUGUAUUAAACAUUGCAUUUAAAAAAAUAAAAUAAAUGCACUUAUUCCCAAAUGA